UGUGUGUGUGUGUGUGUGUGUGUGUGUGUGUAUAUAUGUGUGUGUGUGUUUUAAUUGAGCAUGUACUUUAUCGCUCAUUAUUUGUAUUAUUUUAUAGUCUUUGUUGCUCAUCAUUAUCAAAGGUGCUAAUCUUUUUGUACCUGGCUGUAUAUGCUCUGUAUUGCUAUGGGUAUUGGGGAUAUAUGCCAUAUUAUAUAGUGUAUAUUAUUCCUAUAUGACUAAUGUCAACUGUGCUGCUAUUGGUGUUUCAACAAAACAGCUCUGAGGGAUAAUGUAAUGUCGUUAUGAAUUAGGUUAAACCUCAUUCAAACCUCAUUCAAAACAGCUCUAAGGGAUAAUGUAAUGUCGUUAUGAAUUAGGUUAAACCUCAUUCAAACCUCAUUCAAAACAGCUCUAAGGGAUAAUGUAAUAAGGGAUAAUGUAAUGUCGUUAUGAAUUAGGUUAAACCUCAUUCAAAACAGCUCUAAGGGUUAAUGUAAUAAGGGAUAAUGUAAUGUCGUUAUCAAUUAGGUUAAACCUCAUUCAAAACAGCUCUGAGGGAUAAUGUAAUGUCGUUAUGAAUUAGGUUAAACCUCAUUCAAAACAGCUCUAAGGGAUAAUGUAAUGUCGUUAUGAAUUAGGUUAAACCUCAUUCAAAACAGCUCUAAGGGAUAAUGUAAUAAGGGAUAAUGUAAUAAGGGAUAAUGUAAUGUCGUUAUCAAUUAGGUUAAACCUUAUUCUUCUUGUUCGUUAUUUUUUUUUGCGCUAAACAACCGUUUAAUUUUUACAAAGAAUAAACUUGAACAACUAA